rnacentral:misc_RNA from 1 species
GCAUGGAUAGCUCCUAAAUUGUUAAAUGGACUACAAUAUCUUUGUAUCGAAGACUCAUUUGAGUUGCAUCGUCUGAGUGAUCGUUUCAGGGGUAGUGACGGAAAAAAAUGGGAAAUCGAAGGACUAUGCUUGAAAUACUUACCAAAUCUAGAAGAGACAUGGGAAGAAAUCACAAGUGCAAUGCCUGGGCUUAAGUAUGUUGAAGUAAGCCACUGCAACUCGCUGAAAUCGUUCCCGUGUGAUGUUGAGGGUAUAGAAUUUUGGAGAAAAACAGAGUAAGAAGAUGAUGAGAUGAACUAAUAUCUUAGUAUUAUUCAGUUUGUUUGCUGUCCAUUUAUGUUGUAUUAGUUUGAUGGUAUUUCUCAUUUCACUUUUGAUUUGUAACAAGUGGUGUUGAUUGUGGUAAGUAACUAUUGAAUAGCAAGUGUUGGUUGUAAUAACAAUUAUGAGGGAUUAUGUUGUAUAUGCUGGCAUUGAGAGUGGUUU